CAGUAGCCGCGGUAAUACGAAGGGUGCAAGCGUUAAUCGGAAUUACUGGGCGUAAAGCGUGCGUAGGCGGUUUGUUAAGUCUGCUGUGAAAUCCCCGGGCUCAACCUGGGAAUGGCAGUGGAUACUGGCAAGCUAGAGUGUGUCAGAGGAUGGUGGAAUUCCCGGUGUAGCGGUGAAAUGCGUAGAGAUCGGGGGGAACAUCAGUGGCGAAGGCGGCCAUCUGGGACAACACUGACGCUGAGGCACGAAAGCGUGGGGAGCAAACGGGAUUAGAUACCCCUGUAGUCCCUGUCUCUUAUAC
rnacentral:rRNA from 1 species